rnacentral:tRNA from 1 species
GGGUCGUUGGCAGAGCGGAUAUGCGGCUGCCUCUUAAGCAUACUUAUCCAGGUUCAGCCCCUGGGCGACCCA